UUUACAAGUUGGUAACAGCUUGUUCCAAACUUGUUGGCAACUUGGGACAAGCAGUGCGAACACAACUUGUUGACAGCUUGUUGGCAGACUUGUUACACGCGUAAAAUUUAAAAUCUCACAUCUUGUAACAAGUUUGCCAACAAGCCGUCAACAAGUUGUGUUCGCACUUCUUGUCCCAAGUUGCCAACAAGUUUGGAACAAGCUGUUAACAAUUUAUAAC